rnacentral:rRNA from 1 species
GACGUAGGGCGCGAGCGUUGUCCGGAUUUAUUGGGCGUAAAGAGCUCGUAGGCGGUUUGUUGCGUCGGCUGUGAAAUCCCGAGGCUCAACCUCGGGUCUGCAGUCGAUACGAGCAAACUAGAGUGUUGCAGGGGAGACUGGAAUUCCUGGUGUAGCGGUGAAAUGCGCAGAUAUUAGGAGGAACACCGGUGGCGAAGGCAGCUCUCUGGGACGGUACUGACGCUGAGACGCGAAAGCGUGGGGAGCGAACAGG